AAAAGAAUGACUUGCUGCUGCUUACAGAAACCAUCCUGUCAUAGAUGGGAGUGGCAGUCACAGAACCUAGCUGCUUCAACAGUUUCUUUGCUUGCUGCAAAUGAAGCUGCCUUCUCCUGUAGAGAGUGGUCACACAUAAGGUUUGUGCAGCACUCCUGUGGUCAGACAGCUAGGUGCUAUGCCUGACCUUGUUGCGAAUGGGUUGGUAUAUGAGAUGGGGCUUUUCCUUUCCUUUCCUUCUCCAGGAGGGUGGGGCGUACAUGGCAAGUAUGCUUGGCAAGUAUGCUGCUUAUACUGGCUCAUUGGUGUAAUUAAGUUUUCCUUUAAGCAAAUUUUUAAAUAAGCAGGAAGGGAAUCAGGUAUACAUCUUUCCUCAUUCUGAGGGUCGUGUUUGAAUUGCCCCUAUAUGCCAAAUGGCAUGCAUUUUUAUAUUGCCCUCUGUAGUGUAGAGUGUAGUGUAGAGGCGGUUGGAGGAUGGAUGGUGGCUAAUGGAUUGCGGUUGAAUCCUGACAAGACAGAAUUACUGUUCUUGGGGGACAGGGGGCUGGCUGGUGUGGAGGACUCCCUAGUCCUGAAUGGGGUAAUUGUGCCCCUGAAGGACCAGGUGUGCAGCCUGGGAGUCAUUUUCGACUCACAGCUGUCUAUGGAGGCACAGGUCAGUUCUGUAUCCAGGGCAGCUGUCUACCAGCUCCACCUGGUACGCAGGGUGAGACCCUACCUGCCUGCAUACUGUCUCGCCGGAGUGGUGCAUGCUCCAGUUAUCUCCCGCUUGGACUACUGCAAUGUGCUCUACGUGGGGCUACCUUUGAAGGUGACCUGGAAACUACAACUAAUCCAGAAUGUGGCAGCUAGACUGGUGACUGGGAGCAGCUGCUGAGACCAUAUAACACCGGUCCUGAAAGACCUACAUUGGCUCCCAGUACGUUCCCGAGCACAGUUCAAAGUGUUGGUGUUACCUUUAAAGCUGUAAACUGCCUCGGCCCAGUAUACCUGAAGGAGCGUCUCCACCCGCAUCGUUCUGCCUGGACACUGAGGUCCAGCACCAAGAGCCUUCUGGCGGUUCCCUCACUGCGAGAAGCGAAGCUACAGGGAACCAGGCAGAGGGCCUUCUCGGUAGUGGCGCCCGCCCUGUGGAACGCCCUCCCAUCAGAUGUCAAAGAGAUAAACAACCACCUGACAUUUAGAAGACAUCUGAAGGCAGCCCUGUUUAGGGAAUUUUUUAAUGUGUGACCCAUUGCAGGUGUUAUGGAUUGAAUAGCUACUGCACCUUUUCACAAUAUUCUAAUUUUUAUGAGAUUGUUAAUUUGGGGUUUUCAUCAGCU